UCUUUCUUGUCGGAGUGCCCAGUAUUUAUCUCUGUGAUAAAUCGGGCUGAGACCGUUAAUUCGGGAUCCGCGGAACCUGAUCGGGUUAGUACCCGCGAAGGGAACAAGAGUAAUCUUUCC
rnacentral:ncRNA from 2 species